rnacentral:rRNA from 1 species
UACGUAGGGUGCGAGCGUAAUCGGAAUUACUGGGCGUAAAGCGUGCGCAGGCGGUUGUGCAAGACAGAUGUGAAAUCCCCGGGCUCAACCUGGGAAUUGCAUUUGUGACUGCACGGCUAGAGUGUGUCAGAGGGGGGUAGAAUUCCACGUGUAGCAGUGAAAUGCGUAGAGAUGUGGAGGAAUACCGAUGGCGAAGGCAGCCCCCUGGGAUAACACUGACGCUCAUGCACGAAAGCGUGGGGAGCAAACAGG